rnacentral:lncRNA from 10 species
AAAAAAAAAAAGUUACUGCCUAGACCAAUGUUAUGGGGCUUUUACUCUACUUUUGUGUAUUAGUUUCAUUGCAGUUUCAAGCAUUACAUGUAAGUUUCUAAUUUAUUUUGAAUUGAUUUUUACAUGUGGUGUCAAAUGAGGGUCUCAUUGCUUUGCAUGUGGCUGUAAAGUUUCUCAACACCAUUUAUUGAAGAUACUGUCCUUUCUCUGAGAAAUUGUCACCUAUAUUUAAAAUUAGACAGUUGUAAAUACAUGGAUAUAUUUCUGGUUUCUUUGGGUUCAUUUUUAUUCCAAUAUACUGCUUUGGUCACUAUAGCUUUGUAGUAUAUUUCAAAGUAAGGUUGUGUGAUACCUUCAACCUUUCUUUUUUGCUUGAUUGCUCUGGGUAUUUGGGGUCUUUUGUGGUGCCAUAUUAAUUUUAAAUACAUUUUAAAAAUUUUAUGAAGUCACUGGUAUUUUGAUACAGGUUACAUUUUAUCUGUAGAUUAUUUUGUUUAACACACAUAUUUAGCAAUAUUAAUAGUACCAAUUCAGGAAUGAGUAAUAUUUUCCAUUUGUGUAUUACUUAAUUUUUUACUUUUAUGUUCUUUAGAUUAUAAUAUAAGGUGUUUCACCUUUUUACUUAAAUUUAUUUCAAAGUAUAGUUACUCAAGUUAUUGUAGCUGGGAUUCUUUUUAAAUUUCAUUUUGAGAUAGUUAAUUGUUAGUGUAUAGAAAUGCUACUGACUUUCAUAUGUUGAUUUGUAUUCUGCAAAUUUAAUAAAUUUGUUUAUUAGUUCUAGUAGUUCUAGUAAAGUCUUAGGCUUUUCUGUACUUAAGAUUAUAUCGUCUGCAAACAAAUAAUUUAAUUUCUUUUCUUCCAAUCUGCCUAUCUUUGCUUUUAUCUUACAAUUUCUCUCUUUGGACAUUUAGUAUUAUGUUUAGUUAAGAAUGAAGAAAGUGGUCAUCUGCUCAGGAGUGGUGGCUCAUGCCUGUAAUCCCAGCACUUUGGGAAGCCAAGGCAGGUGGAUCACCUGAGGUCAGGAGUUCGAGACCAGCUUGGCCAACAUGGUGAAACCCAGUCUAACUAAAAAUACAAAAAUUAACUGGAUAUGGUGGCAGGUGCAUGUAAUCCCAGUUACUUGGGAGGCAGAGGGAGGUGAAUCGCUUGAACCUGGGAGACAGAGGUUGCAGUGAGCUGUGAUUGUGCCAUUGCACUCCAGUCUGGGUGACAAGAGUGAGACUCCGUCAAAAAAAAAAAAGAAGAAAGAACAAGAAAGAAAGAAAAGGAAGGAAGGAGAGAGAGAAAGAAAGAAGAAAGAAAAGGAGAGAAGGAAAGGAAGAAAGGAGAGAGAAAGAAAGAGAAGCAAGAAAAGGAGAGAAGGAAAGGAAGAAAGGAAAAGGAAGAAAGAGGGCAUCCCUGUCUUGUUCUAGGUCUUAGAGUAAGAGCUUACAUUUCACUGUUUAAUAUGUUGUUAGCUGGACAUUUUUUUCUAUACAUGGCAUUUAUUGGCUUGAGAUGCAUUUGUCCUAUACUAAUUAUUUUUUAGAGAUUAUCAUGAGGGAAUGUUGAAUUUUGUCAAACUUUUGUUUUUUUUUUUGGCUGGAGUUUCACUCUUGUCAUCCAGGCUGGAGUGCACUGGCACGAUCUCGGCUCACUGCAACCUCUGCCUCCCAGGUUCAAGCAAUUCUCCUGCCUCAGCCUCCUGAGUAGCUGGGAUUACAAGCGUGAGCCACCACGCCCAGUUAAUUUUUGUAUUUUUAGUAGAGACAGG